rnacentral:rRNA from 1 species
CUGCUGCCUUCCGUAGGAGUUUGGGCCGUGUCUCAGUCCCAAUGUGGCCGGUCACCCUCUCAGGUCGGCUACUGAUCGUCGCCUUGGUGGGCUGUUAUCCCACCAACUAGCUAAUCAGAUGCGGGCCCAUCCUGCACCGAAUAAAUCCUUUCUUUCCCAGAAGAUGCCUCCCAGGAACCGUAUGCGGUAUUAGUCAUCGUUUCCAAUGAUUAUUCCCCAGUGCAGGGCAGGUUGCCCACACGUUACUCACCCG